rnacentral:lncRNA from 10 species
GACUGGUGUGCAUAACUGUGAUGACAGCAUUUCUAGCUGAGCCGGGUCAUUUUGUCCUUGGGUCCUCCAGGGAGGACUCGGCCCAAUUGCUAACGCAAAGAACUAGGUGCUAUCACAAAGCCUCCCCCAAGGCCCCAAAUCCACACUAGAAUACAACCUCCUUCCUAGGAGGAGCACAGGCGAGGGAGGGCCGGCUCUAUGGUCCUGCAUGAAGGUACAAGAGGCGAGGGUUGGAGGUGUGUGACUCACACAGGCUGGUCAGAGGCCCCGGAGUUCAGCCUCUGUCGGGUAUUUACCUACCCAUCACCAGCCGCUGACUACGUGCUCACUGUGUACCAGGGACCUGGCCAAGGGCUUCACGUGUAAUCUCAUUUAAUUCUCACAAGAGAUGCAGAGAGGUGACGUGACUCAUCAGGUGACAUGACUCACCAGGUCACCUAGCUGGUAAGGGAUGGAACUGGGUUGUGCAUAGAGGCCUAUCUGUGUCCACAGGCAGGCUCCCAGCCACCACCCUCCAGUUCCGUGGCCCUGCUCUGGGACGUGGGAAGAUAAGAAAGAAGAAGGGCUCCAGGACUCAGCUGCUCCUCGUUGUCCCACCUACUGGUCCCACCUACUUUGCUCUCUCCCAGGCCUGGCUGUGGACCUGGCCCCUCCCAGGUCAGGAUCUCUCUAGUCCAAGAACUUGGAGCACUGUUGCCCUCACAGGGAGGACAGUGGGUGACACCCUCACAAACGAGAAAAGGGGCUCAGACUCUGGAACCUCCAAGUCCAAUUUCCAACAGUGUGGUUGGGCCGUGGCUCCUGGCACCCACUUGGAGAUGCCCACCAGAAGCCCCCUCCCUCCCUCCCUUACUGAGGGUCAGGCUAGCCGAGCCUUCCCCGCCCUGGAGACCUCCCAGCUGGGGCCUGAGGGUGUGAUCUUGGCAGAAGAGAAAAACCUCCUCUCCGGUGGUGGCUUCUGUUCAACCCACCCGUGAAGACCUCUGGGCACGUCCUCCUGCCAGGCCUCCUGAGGCUGGCCACUGCUCUCUUUUGCAGCCUCCAGGAUCUGAGGGAAACAGCUGGCUCCCCUCCUCACCACACCCCGGCGGCCAUUCUCUUGGACCCCUCCCAAGGGUACCACCUAGCCCUGGUCUGUGGACAAAGUCAAAGGGGUACUUCUGUCUGCCUGUCUGCUGUUGGGUCAGUGUGUCUGAGCUUGCCCAUAGGGACACCAGCUGGUUGGGAGGGGGCUGGGGGCCCCAACCUGCUGUGCACAGUGCCGGGAAGCGCCAGCCCACAUCCUUGAGUCCCCAGCCCCACCCUCCCCGGCUGUGGCUGUGACCACCCCACCCCUUCCCCAGCCCUCCUUCCCCUCCCCCACCCACUGCCUCCCCAGGGGAGCCAGGCUGCCAGCCCCAGCUCUCACUUCCGGCCUCAUGACCCUCUCUCCAGCUUGCACACUCCUCCUCCCCCACCAUUUCCCUCCCAGCCUGGUUCGAAGGCCCUGGGAUGUCCUCAAAUGGAAAACACUGCAUCAAAGGGGCCAUUACUGCUGCUCUGAGACCUUCCCAUCACCUCCCUUUUCCUCCAGGGGCCUUAUCUCUCAGGAUCUGUCCCUCAGGGACUAGUCAUCACCUCUGUCCACCUCCUUCCCUUCAGCCGCCUACCUGCCCACACAGUAACACCUGAAUAUCUUCUUUCAACCUGAUCCCAGGCACAAUAUCAUAAUACAAAUAACAAUGAUGGCAAUAAUAAUGGCAGCUGUCACUCAUUUGGCAUCAUUUAAAUAGAGGCACAGAGAGGUUAAGUUAUGCCCUUAAGAACAAACAGCCAUCUCAUUCAAUUAAGCUGGUGUCUGAAUUUAGGUUGGGCUUCUGUAAAUCAAACUUCUUUGGUGUCCAGAGAUUCAGCGCCCUCCCCUGCAGCCUCCUACAACGGUCCUAGUCCCAACCAUCAGUUCUAAUUUUUGACUUCUAAUCUAUCCUCCUCUCAGCUUCUAGUCACCACCUCCCACCAACAGCCAUCCAACUAGAUGCACUACUCUCCCUCGCCACUAGGUGUCCCCUUGGAGCCACUGAUGCCCCCAAGGGGAGCUGGCCCUGCCCCGCCCCCUGGGGCCAUCAGGGCCCCCCCACAGCACAGCACAGCAGUGCACACCCCACCCCACCCUACCCCCAGCCACACAGAGCUCCUUUGUGCAACCCUCGCCCACCCCCUUCCUCCCUGGAACAGGGCACCUGGCAAGCAGGUCUGCCCCAGAACCGCCCCCUGCCAGCCCCCUGCCCUGGGUGCCAGGUGUGUGGGCGCCACCGCCAGCUCUGGCUGGACCCGAGGGUCACCCUGCCGGCGGCCCUCCCUUCCUCCCUCCGAGGUCACCCAGGGACUAAGCUUCCCGCCCUGCUCCGCCCCCCUCCCCUCCUGCCCUUGGCCCUUCCAGACUCCCGUCCUUGUCUUUCCUUCUGUCUCCCGGAGGACUCCCCUCCUCCAGCCCCACUAGGCCUUCCCUGCAGCCUCUCACCCCCGCCCACCUCCUUCCCCAGAGAGCUCCUUGUUCCACGCCCCCCCGCUCCCCGCCCAGGUCUGAAGAACUCCUCCUCCUGGAAAGUUGCUGCUGGAAAGGAAGUGACUUCAGCAAUUUGGCCACAAGGCUGGGCACUGCUGAGCCCAGCUCAGCUCAAGGCUUGCCCAACCCACCUCCAAAGCACAAAUGGAGCCACAUGUGCACAUCACUCCCACUGUGCACCCAGAACCCUGAGCACACACUUAGCCAGUGUACACACAGAUCCCCGUGUGCAUACACCGUACCAUCGCAGUGUAUUCAGAUCUUGUCUAUACACACAUCUCUCCAGUGUACACUAGCACCCUUGCACACAUGACAUCCAGUGUGGCACACACAGUAUCCCCACACCUGCCCAGUACACACCCAGAAUCCUGCAUAUUCAUACUUCCGGGUACCACAUACACAGCCCUUGAACGCUCCCCAGCCCAGUCCACUUACACAACUCUUGUAUAUUACCCCAUGUGCACGGAAGGACAGAGCCUUCCACACACACCUGCUUGCACACAAGCUUGAGUGCCCUGUACAUUUACAUUCGGAUACACACAGCCUCGCAUCCUCCCACAGCUGUACCUCCCCACCCUUACAAUCCCAGGAGACUCCACCCCCAGACCUCAGGCCCCAGGAAUGCUCCUUUGGAAGUAGGGUGGGGUCCCCAGGCAGGCUCAGCUCUAGGGAGCUUCCUGGAGCCGCAGGCUUCAUGUGUCAGUUCAGGGAGUUGCCUCUGCAGGGCAGGGCAGCUUCACCUGGCUCUGCAGCUCCUGAGCCUGGGUGGGCUAACCUGGGCCAGGAGUAGGGAGGUGGGUCCUGCCACUGCCCCCGCCCCCUCCCUGUCCUGCAAGGGCACCUUAGCAUACCUGGGCUACCCAGGCCCUCCCAGCACC